rnacentral:rRNA from 1 species
GACAGAGGUGGCAAACGUUGUUCGGAUUUACUGGGCGUAAAGGGUGCGUAGGUGGUUAGGUAAGACCUGUGGGAAAGACCUGGGCUUAACCCAGGAAGGUCGCAGGUGACUGCCUGGCUAGAGGGCGGGAGAGGAGAGCGGAAUUCCCGGUGUAGCGGUGAAAUGCGUAGAGAUCGGGAGGAAGGCCGGUGGCGAAGGCGGCUCUCUGGAACGUUCCUGACACUGAGGCACGAAAGCGUGGGGAGCAAACAGG